GAUGAACGCUGGCGGCGUGCCUAAUACAUGCAAGUCGAGCGAACAGACGAGGAGCUUGCUCCUCUGACGUUAGCGGCGGACGGGUGAGUAACACGUGGAUAACCUACCUAUAAGACUGGGAUAACUUCGGGAAACCGGAGCUAAUACCGGAUAAUAUAUUGAACCGCAUGGUUCAAUAGUGAAAGACGGUUUUGCUGUCACUUAUAGAUGGAUCCGCGUCGCAUUAGCUAGUUGGUAAGGUAACGGCUUACCAAGGCGACGAUGCGUAGCCGACCUGAGAGGGUGAUCGGCCACACUGGAACUGGGACACGGUCCAGACUCCUACGGGAGGCAGCAGUAGGGAAUCUUCGGCAAUGGGCGAAAGCCUGACGGAGCAACGCCGCGUGAGUGAUGAAGGUCUUCGGAUCGUAAAACUCUGUUAUUAGGGAAGAACAAAUGUGUAAGAAACUAUGCACGUCUUGACGGUACCUAAUCAGAAAGCCACGGCUAACUACGUG
rnacentral:rRNA from 1 species